UACGAAGGGGGCUAGCGUUGUUCGGAUUUACUGGGCGUAAAGCGCACGUAGGCGGAUCGAUCAGUCAGGGGUGAAAUCCCAGAGCUCAACUCUAAAACUGCCUUUGAUACUGUCGAUCUGGAGUAUGGAAGAGGUGAGUGGAAUUCCGAGUGUAGAGGUGAAAUUCGUAGAUAUUCGGAGGAACACCAGUGGCGAAGGCGGCUCACUGGUCCAUUACUGACGCUGAGGUGCGAAAGCGUGGGGAGCAAACAGG
rnacentral:rRNA from 1 species